rnacentral:rRNA from 1 species
GACGAACGCUGGCGGCGUGCUUAACACAUGCAAGUCGAACGGAAAGGCCUCUUUCGGGGGGUACUCGAGUGGCGAACGGGUGAGUAACACGUGAGUAACCUGCCCUUGACUUUGGGAUAACUUCAGGAAACUGGGGCUAAUACCGGAUAGGAGCUCCUGCUGCAUGGUGGGGGUUGGAAAGUUUCGGCGGUUGGGGAUGGACUCGCGGCUUAUCAGCUUGUUGGUGGGGUAGUGGCUUACCAAGGCUUUGACGGGUAGCCGGCCUGAGAGGGUGAUCGGCCACAUUGGGACUGAGAUACGGCCCAGACUCCUACGGGAGGCAGCAGUGGGGAAUAUUGCACAAUGGGUGGAAGCCUGAUGCAGCAACGCCGUGUGCGGGAUGACGACCUUCGGGUUGUAAACCGCUUUCGCUCAUGACGAAGCUUUGUGUGACGGUAGUGGGUAAAGAAGCACCGGCUAACUACGUG